AUUAAACGCUGGCGGCAGGCCUAACACAUGCAAGUCGAGCGGAUGAAGGGAGCUUGCUCCUGGAUUCAGCGGCGGACGGGUGAGUAAUGCCUAGGAAUCUGCCUGGUAGUGGGGGAUAACGUCCGGAAACGGGCGCUAAUACCGCAUACGUCCUGAGGGAGAAAGUGGGGGAUCUUCGGACCUCACGCUAUCAGAUGAGCCUAGGUCGGAUUAGCUAGUUGGUGGGGUAAAGGCCUACCAAGGCGACGAUCCGUGACUGGUCUGAGAGGAUGAUCAGUCACACUGGAACUGAGACACGGUCCAGACUCCUACGGGAGGCAGCAGUGGGGAAUAUUGGACAAUGGGCGAAAGCCUGAUCCAGCCAUGCCGCGUGUGUGAAGAAGGUCUUCGGAUUGUAAAGCACUUUAAGUUGGGAGGAAGGGCAGUAAGUUAAUACCUUGCUGUUUUGACGUUACCAACAGAAUAAGCACCGGCUAACUUCGUG
rnacentral:rRNA from 1 species